UAGUUGGUGGGGUAAAGGCCCACCAAGGCGACGAUCAGUAGCUGGUCUGAGAGGACGACCAGCCACACUGGAACUGAGACACGGUCCAGACUCCUACGGGAGGCAGCAGUGGGGAAUUUUGGACAAUGGGCGCAAGCCUGAUCCAGCCAUUCCGCGUGAGUGAAGAAGGCCUUCGGGUUGUAAAGCUCUUUCGCAAGGGAAGAAAGAUUACUCUCUAACAUAGAGUGAUUAUGACGGUACCUUGAUAAGAAGCACCGGCUAACUACGUGCCAGCAGCCGCGGUAAUACGUAGGGUGCGAGCGUUAAUCGGAAUUACUGGGCGUAAAGCGUGUGCAGGCUGUUUUGUAAGUCAGAUGUGAAAUCCCCGAGCUCAACUUGGGAACUGCGUUUGAAACUACAAGACUAGAAUAGGUCAGAGGGGGGUAGAAUUCCACGUGUAGCAGUGAAAUGCGUAGAGAUGUGGAGGAAUAUCAAUGGCGAAGGCAGCCCCCUGGGAUCAUAUUGACGCUCAUGCACGAAAGCGUGGGGAGCAAACAGGAUUAGAUACCCUGGUAGUCCACGCCCUAAACGAUGUCAACUAGUUGUUGGUAGAGUAAAAUCUAUGAGUAACGCAGCUAACGCGUGAAGUUGACCGCCUGGGGAGUACGAUCGCAAGAUUAAAACUCAAAUGAAUUGACGGGGGCCCGCACAAGCGGUGGAUUAUGUGGAUUAAUUCGAUGCAACGCGAAAAACCUUACCUGGCCUUGACAUGUACGGAACUUUCCAGAGAUGGAUUGGUGCUCGAAAGAGAACCGUAACACAGGUGCUGCAUGGCUGUCGUCAGCUCGCGUCGUGAGAUGUUGGGUUAAGUCCCGCAACGAGCGCAACCCUUGCCAAUAAUUGCCAUCAUUUAGUUGGGCACUUUAUUGGGACUGCCGA
rnacentral:rRNA from 1 species